GUCCUAAGAACUUCACCACAACACAGGAGUUCAUUAGAAGAUGAAACAAUUUGUGAUGAAAAAAUACCAAAAUAAUUUUUAUUAAAUUUAUAAUUCAUAUCCUAAUAUAAGAAAGAGCACAACCGUCAAUAGACUGACGAUUGGCUUUGGGACACUAUUCCCAAUAAUCUCCCACUUGGCCUAAAGCCAAUCGGUGCAGUAUCUAAUACCCAUC
rnacentral:lncRNA from 1 species